rnacentral:rRNA from 1 species
UACGAAGGGGGCUAGCGUUGCUCGGAAUGACUGGGCGUAAAGGGCGCGUAGGCGGUUUGUACAGUCAGGUGUGAAAUUCCCGGGCUCAACCUGGGGGCUGCACUUGAUACGUAUGGACUGGAGUGGGGAAGAGGGUCGUGGAAUUCCCAGUGUAGAGGUGAAAUUCGUAGAUAUUGGGAAGAACACCGGUGGCGAAGGCGGCGACCUGGUCCUUGACUGACGCUGAGGCGCGAAAGCCAGGGGAGCGAACGGG